rnacentral:rRNA from 1 species
CAAGCUCGCGAGAGUAAGCUAAUCUCUUAAAGCCGUUCUCAGUUCGGACUGUAGGCUGCAACUCGCCUACACGAAGUCGGAAUCGCUAGUAAUCGCGGAUCAGCAUGCCGCGGUGAAUACGUUCCCGGGCCUUGUACACACCGCCCGUCACACCAUGGGAGUUUGUAACGCCCAAAGUCGGUGGCCUAACCUUUCAGGAAGGAGCCGUCGAAGGCAGGUCUGAUAACUGGGGUGAAGUCGUAACAAGGUAUC